GGAACUAAUUAAAAUUUUUAUAGAACUCAUCCAAAUAAUAAACACUAGAAUAAUACAAUUGAAAAAGAAUUAAACAAUAUCAAUUAAUGAUUUUUUUAACAUUAUAGUUUUGAAGGGUUUCACAACCAAUACAUUUUUCCUUCCUUCGAAUGGUUGCAUCCCCAACAAAAAUUAAAAAAAAAAAAAGUUACAACCGGCAAGCAUAAAACAAUAAAAGAUUAUCAUGGAAUAGAAGUCAAGCUGGUAACUGAAAUCUUAUUUUUGAUCAGUCUCAUUACUACCAGCGGAUGCUUGCAGAAAAUUUCACGACAAAGUCAUGGAAGGAGGGUGGUGGUGGUGGUGGUACAUGAUGAGCAACGCCACCACUGCCACCUCCAACGUUCAUUUCUGUCAACGUGCACCGACCAUGAUUGCGUCCGGGUAUAUUUGUGCAUGGAUUUCCAGUUGACGGUGGCACCAGACCCUUUUGAAGCACUUGAGCUAUAAGAUUUUUGUUGAAUGAUGGCAUUGGAUCUUCAUCACCUAGAGGCCUAAUGGCCAAAACACGUUGAAAGCUGAGUAUCGAAACAAUGGCGAAAAUGAACGUAACAGUAAAUUUAGUAACAUUAGAGGAAGCCAUGUGUGUUGGGAUUUGUGAAAAGAAAAGAUUUGGUUUUUGGUAU
rnacentral:lncRNA from 1 species